GUGCUCUCUUUGGCAGCACAUAUACUAAAAUUGGAACAAUACACAGAAGAUUAGCAUGGCCCCUGCACAAGGAUGAUGUGUAAACUUUUGAAGUGUUCCAUAUUUUU
ensembl:snRNA U6 U6 spliceosomal RNA